GUGUCAGACACGGAAGUUGCAGGGUGAUAAGCACGCCGCAAGUGUCAACGACAAUAAACUUUGCUGGGUACCCAUCACCUCGCAAAGUUUCUUCAACACAACGUUUCCAUUUCCGUUUCCCACAUUCAGUACUCACCAUCAACCACUGUAAUCUCAUUCUCCCUCUCUUUGUUUCCCCCAAACAGCCACCGCAAACCACCCAGAAAAACCCUAAAAGUUCUAUUUUUCUACAAAUCAACAUCAAAACAGCUUGUAAUAUCGUGUUGGAUUUGUCUAUCACCGCCUUCGCUCAACAACAACUUCUCAAUUUUGAAGCAUUACACAAAUUAAUGCUCUGCUCUAGUUGGUAAAGUUGCUGGGUUCAAAUUUCGUUUUGUGUUUGGGUUCAACAGCGCUGUUACGAUUUUGACGGCAGUAUUACAACGUUUUGAAGGGGAUUUUUUAGGGUUUGUAUGAAUUUUUGUUGUUGUCCAUUCUGAUUCAAGAUAAGGAGGUUGCCAAGUCUGGAGGGAAACCGAAUUCUGAUUCGAAGAAAAUAAUUGAUGAUUUGAUGCAACAAAUUAAGAAUAGCCUUGCUGAGGCUGUUGACUCGUCUAGCCUGAAAGAGAAGUAUGAAAACCUGACUCGUCCAGCAGGAGAAAGUCUCACCGAUGAUGAAUUGAGAGAGAAAGUUGGUGCAAAUCGCAGCUUUUCUUAAUUUUUGAAGGGGAUUUGCGAGGGUUUGUCAUAGAGAAAGAAACCGGAAGAAGUCAAAAAAUUGGUAUAAUUUUGGAUUUGCUAAUAUGAAUUUGUGGUACUUGAUUGAAUAUUUGCGGUAAUAUGAUUAACUUAGUUAGAUUUCCUGCUAUGAUCUUUUCCACUUUGUUCAAGUAGGUUCCUGUCACUUAAUGCUAUCCCUGUCACCUAACAUCAUCUUAGGGAAUAGAUUAUUAACCCGCAAACUGUGAUUUUCUACACGGUGAUGUAGAGCAAACCGACUUUAAUGAGCAUCACAAGAAAAUAAGGUGUACAAACUAAGAAAGACAUUGUAUGACCUGAUACAAGUACUAGUACCACAUGCUUGGUACAAAAGGAUUAAGUCCUGCUUUCAAAAUCUAAAGGAUAAUGUUUAUCUAAAUCAAUAGUUUAUGUGGAUCACUUGAUAUUUACAGAAAACAAUAGAGAAAUGUUUAAAAAAUGAAAAAAAAAUCAUAUAGAAAGAAACUUUGACAUGACUGACUUGAGAAAAAAAUCAUAUAGUAAGAGAAAUGUGGCAUGGUUAGUUUUGUGUUUGUUUGUUAGUUAUACAGUUUGUUAUGGGUAGGUGUAUAUAUUAAACAACUAAGCAACAAAUGAGUUAGUUUUUUUAUUGGAUAGAAACACUUAGUCUACUCUUGUCCUAACAAGAUCAAACUCGAGUAUUACUUGCACUAGUUCGUAACAGAAAAGUAUAAUCACACUUUAGUAGCAGUGGUGUGACAUUAUCAGACACUUAUAACAAGUUUAGAGGCAGCUGUAGUAUAUAGUUUAGAUAGAAACAGGAAAUAUGGUACAUAGAAAUUGUUGCUUACACUAUAAAAGGACUAAAGGAACCACCAUACUCAUCUUCCAAAGCUUGUGGUAGAUCCCAAUGGAAAAGGGUUACAAAUACUUCUAUACUUGAAAAACUAACAAAUGUCUUAGAAAUUAUAAAAUGAAAAAUUCAAGAUUUACAAAAAAAUGAAAAACUGGAUUAGGACCAAAUUAUUAUUAUUAUUUUUAAAAACUGAAUAUUGUUAUUUUAAUAUUGUAAAAACAGAAUAAUUUUUAUUAUUUGUUAAAAUUAAAUAUUCUUAUUAUUUUUAAAAACAGAACAUAAUUAUAUCCAUUUGUUUCUUGUUAUUGAGAAAAGAAUUUCCAUUUGUUUCUUUUUCCAUAGACAUUUUUGAGUCCAUAAUAAGAACAUAAUUAUAGUGAUAGAGCAUCAUUAUAUUGGAAAUCAGACGAGUUUUAGAAAAAAUUUGAAAAAGCAAAGCAGCGUAGAACAUCAGAAAGGGGAGCCGUUAAUCAUAGAGCCGGAAGCAUUAGUAUUGCUGAUCAUGUUUAACAGAUGGUAAUAUAAUUUUCUCUCACUACUUUUUUUAAAUUAUAUUGUUAAUUGUGUUAUAUUUUUAUUGGACUUCUAUAUGUAUUAGGCCGUGGCUAAAACAAGACCUCCAUUAAUGCAAGAGCUUUACGAGAAGACUUAUCGAGAUAAUAGUAUCUCUUCUCUUUGUUUUAAGCAAUAUUUGAAUAUUAGAAACAACAAAUAAUUUUAAAAUAAAAAUUAAUUUUGGGCUAGUCUUAAUUUGUACAAUGUAGCAUCCAGUAGAAAGCUAAGUGAGAUUAAUUAGAGAUAGUUCCUUCACUAGAACUAGAAGCUAGUCAUGCCCCACUAGCUACUUUACCAUCGCCAUAUAAACAAUUUUCUAAGCAUAGGUGUGUACAAAUUAGGAAGCAAAAUCAAUUAUCAUACUUUAUGUUUGUUUCUAUGUUCUAUUUUCUUUUAAUUUGCUUAACUUAAACUCAAAUCAUAAUUUUUAUUGUUUCUCAAAUAUAGCCAUGUAUAAUAAUAAACUUUGAAAGCAAGUUAUCAUAAGUAUUUCCAUGAAGUUUAAAUAAGAACCGGGAGAGGCGUCACUUCAUUAACUACAUCAUGUGAAUAAUACGUACUUCAUAUAUUUGUGAAAUACUUGAGGUGAAUUUUCAUUGUUGUUGAAUAAAUUACCUAUAACAAUAGCCCUCACAAAAAAAAAGCAUCAAGUAGUAGAUAAGCUUUCACCAAACACUGAUUUCAAUAUUAACUUUACACAUUCAAAGUACUGAUCACAUUCUAUACUUUGUGGUUAAUACACUACUCUCAAAAAUGCAAAGUCAGUGGUGUGAAUUUAUUACUAAUGACAGGUUUAGUUUUUAAUGACAGGUUUAGUUAUUACUCCUCUACAAAAGCUAAGUUAGUUUUUAUGACAGGUUUGGAAUGCUAAUAAAUAUGGUUCGGGUUAUUAUCUAAUGUCUAGUAAUUAUUUUUAUUCUGACUACAACAUUGACAAUAAUGCAUUAGAUUUAUAGAUCACAUAUUUAGAAGGCUUGUAUAAUAAUAGGAAUCACUAAUAAUAAAGCUUGCUUAUACAUUAGUUUUCUUAUACAUUAUUUAUGUGUGUGUAGCCAGAGUACCAAAGGUUGAAGAAGGAGUUUUUAGUUAAACAUCCUGAGUUAGGCGGUCCACAUGGACGAUAUCCUCUUGAUUCAGCUAUUGAUCAGUAUUUGUGGUUGAAAGCAAGUAAGGAAAAGAAGAGAAAUGGAAAAAUUUAUGCUACUGGACCUUUAGCUAGCAACUACAAAAAAGGGAAUAGGUAUUCUUUAUUUAGGAGAAUUGCAGACAGGGAAGGAUCUUCACGUCCUCCGACAUUAACCCCUAAAAUAACUGAAACAAUUAAACAACUAGCUCAGAGUGAAGCAGCAUGUGAAAAUGAAACAUUGAGAAAAAAACAAAUGGAGUUGGAGGAAGCAUUGAGACUUUCACAAGAGCAAAUGAUGCUUACACAACAACAAAUUCAACAACAAGUGCAACAACAAAUACAACAACAAAUGCAACAACAAAUGCAACAAUUCUUUCGACAACAAUAUGGUGGUGGUGGAUUUGGAGCGGUUGGUAACCAAGGAGUGGUAGACGAGAAUGAUGAAGAAAACGAAAAUAAUGCGGACGACCCGGAUCCCAAGUGAAUAUUAUUUUGAAUUUAAAUAUUUUGGAUUAAUCAUGAAUUUCUUUAUAUUAAAUAUGCAUUUCUUUAUAUUAA